GACACUUUCUCCAGUGCAACAAGAGAAUCAUAUUUAUGGCAUUGCUAGGAAUAAGGUUUCAUCCCUUUCAUCUUCACAUAUGUGCCAAAGAGUCAAUGCGGAUGAGAUGAAUGAAAAUAUUUAAACAUAAAAUAACUGACUUUUAAGAGAGGAAGGAUAACACCAGCAGAAGCACCUUUCUUAUUGGCAAUAUUUUUCAAAGUGCUUAUUGCUUAAGCUGAAGAAGAACUGAAGAUGAGAGUAGCGAGGGCCUUUUCAAAUCUUCGUCUGUGUUGCGGAGACCAUGUACCCGUGUCACACAGUCACCUUGUGGGGGUUUGAAGAGCCAGCU